AACAUAUAUAUCAAAUGUAUAAUACAUAAUAUGUGCCCAAUAAUUUUACUGAUCCACAACACAUAACUUAUAUGCAAAGUUGCAUAACAAAUUUCAUGAUCCAUAUAUCAAAGUUCCAUAGCAUCCAUACAUCCAAAAUUCCAUAGAAUCCAUAUAUACAUAUAGUUACAUAGCAUCCAUACAUACAUAGCUCCAUAGCAAAUAUAAUACACAAGAUACAUUGCGGGCAUUAGUACAUAAUAUUUGGCACUACAACAAAUGCCUUCAUGUCCAUAUCGUAGUCCAAAGAGCAUCCACAUGGUAACCUACAAGAUGAAAUCAUCAACAUGUCAAAUUUAACACUCUAAAUCAUAAAGAUCUUCAAGAAUGGUCUCUAAUUAUAAAUUUGAUCUUAAAAUGGGUCAAAUGAUCUUUACUUACAUGUUUUGAGCAACAGUGCUAGUGAUGCAGAGGCGAAAAGAGCAACCUCUAGCAAAUUACAACACUUGAAAAGCAUAGAGAUUUCUAUCGAUAAAUAGAUAGGAGUAGAGAAAGAAGCACCUCUGAACGGUACACUCAUUGCUUGUCUACUUUUAUCUGAUGGAGUGUGCAGCAAGAUCAACCAUUUUCUUCAAACUCCUCCAUGCAACACCUACUAUUAAAUGUAAUGUAACAAUCAGAUGCAACUAAAGAGUAGAUACAAAAGUAAUUUAAGCAAUUUAAAAACUUAAUUAGCACAUGUGUGCGCCCAUCAAAAGUGCAUUCACAUAUGUACAGUCUAGUAAUAUAUAACGCUGCUCGUUCACAUUGAUUUGUACGGCUUCGGUACAGCCACGUCAUCGAAUAUCAAGGAACUAGCGAACAACUACUUGCACAAAGAGAUGAUCACUACUGAUCAUGCUUGUUAACAAGUUCACUCUUCCUGAUGCUCAAGUCCUAUGCACGCUCAAGUCCUACAAAAACGUUCAGCUGUGGACCAUGAGAACAGCAGUACAAAAGAGAGUUCACUUUUUUAGCUUACAGUAUAUGACAAAAUUAAUAUCUUGUUCAAUGGCAUCAACCUAAAAGUGCUACCAAAUCUAUGGUGAAAUGAAUAGAACAAUAAACUAAUGAUUUCAUAUUUUAGAACGCAAGUCACCAUUUUUUCACUUCAGUACUUCGCAUCAAAAGAUAAUCAUUUCGAGUGAUGGCUACAAUUGCAAACUUUCCUUUACUAAGCCCGUACAAGCACUAAUUAGUGUGCCGCGUUUGGAAGUAAAGCAGAAUAUAGGCAUAGUAAAUGAGCUACAAACAGAGAGCUCAAACCCAUGACCAGUCCCAACAAUUAAAGGAAAAUUACAAAUGUCAAAAGGAAGUAAGGAACGCAAUCCUGAAAUUCAUCCACACUCAGCUGAUGCCUCCCUCCCUCCCUCUCUCUCCCUUUCUCUCCCCCUCUCUCUCCCCCUC
rnacentral:lncRNA from 1 species